rfam:Drosophila virilis strain TSC#15010-1051.87 Ctg01_1718, whole genome shotgun sequence.
CAACCUCAACUCAUAUGGGACUACCCCCUGAAUUUAAGCAUAUUAAUUAGGGGAGGAAAAGAAACUAACAAGGAUUUUCUUAGUAGCGGCGAGCGAAAAGAAAUCAGUUCAGCACUAAGUCACUUUGUCUAUAUGGCAAAUGUGAGAUGCAGUGUACGGAACAUCAACAUUCUAGUAUGAGAAGUUAACGAUUUAAGUCCUUCUUAAAUGAGGCCAUUUACCCAUAGAGGGUGCCAGGCCCGUAUAACGUUAAUGAUUACUAGAUGGUGUUUCCAAAGAGUCGUGUUGCUUGAUAGUGCAGCACUAAGUGGGUGGUAAACUCCAUCUAAAACUAAAUAUAACCAUGAGACCGAUAGUAAACAAGUACCGUGAGGGAAAGUUGAAAAGAACUCUGAAUAGAGAGUUAAAUAGUACG